rnacentral:rRNA from 1 species
UACGGGGGGAGCAAGCGUUGUUCGGAUUUACUGGGCGUAAAGGGCGCGUAGGCGGUCGUGACAAGUCACUUGUGAAAUCUCCGGGCUUAACUCGGAACGGUCAAGUGAUACUGUCGGACUAGAGUACAGAAGGGGCAACUGGAAUUCUCGGGUGUAGCGGUGAAAUGCGUAGAUAUCGAGAGGAACACCUGCGGCGAAGGCGGGUUGCUGGGCUGAUACUGACGCUGAGGCGCGAAAGCCAGGGGAGCGAACGGGG